GACGGAAGGUGCAAGCGUUGCUCGGAAUCACUGGGCGUAAAGGGUGCGUAGGCGGCCGCGCAAGUCUGGCGUGAAAGCCCCGGGCUCAGCCCGGGAAGGGCGCUCGAAACGGCGCGGCUCGAGUGCCGGAGGGGAGAGUGGAAUUCCUGGUGUAGCGGUGAAAUGCGUAGAUAUCAGGAGGAAUACCGGUGGCGAAAGCGACUCUCUGGACGGCAACUGACGCUGAGGCACGAAAGCGUGGGGAGCGAAACAAGGAU
rnacentral:rRNA from 1 species